rnacentral:rRNA from 1 species
CGAUUAAGACAUGCGAGUCGAGAGCUUUCGGAGCUCGGCAUACUGCUCAGUAACACGUGGGUAACCUGCCCUAUGCUGGGGGAUAACCUCGGGAAACUGAGGACAAUACCCCAUAGUUCACUACGCCUGGAACGGUGAGUGGAUGAAAGCCCCGGCGGCAUAGGAUGGGCCUGCGGCGUAUCAGGUUGUAGGGGGUGUAAUGUACCCUCUAGCCUUCGACGCGUACGGGUUGUGAGAGCAAUAGCCCGGAGAUGGAUUCUGAGACAAGAAUCCAGGUCCUACGGGACGCAGCAGUCGCGAAACCUUGACAAUGCGGGAAACCGUGAUCAGGGGACUCCAAGUGCCAGGAGUAAGAUCCUGUGCUUUUCAUCUCUCUUCAAAGGAUUUGGAAUAAGAGGUGGGUAAGGACGGUGCCAGCCGCCGCGGUAAUACCGGCGCCUCAAGUGGUAGUCGAUUUUAUUGGGCCUAAAACGUCCGUCGCCGGUCUGGUGCAUUCGUGGGUAAAUCAACCCGCUCAACGGGUUGAAUUCUGCGAGCACGGCCAGACUAGGGACCGGGAGAGGUGUAGGGUACGCUCGGGGUAGGGGUAAAAUCCUGUCAUCCCGAGCGGACCACCUGUUGCGAAGGCGCUACACUAGAACGGAUCCGACGGUCAGGGACGAAGCCUAGGGGCACGAACCGGAUUAGAUACCCGGGUAGUCCUAGGUGUAAACGCUGUGGACUUGGUGUUGGAAGCUCCCAGAGGGCUUUCAGUGCCGUAGCGAAGGUGAUAAGUCCACUGCCUGGGGAGUACGGUCGCAAGGCUGAAACUUAAAGGAAUUGGCGGGGGAACACCGC